CCUCGCCUCAUGGGGCCCCAUGGCCUGCACCUGGGCACGGGCACCUGGUACAGAGGUGGACAAAAAUAAGCUAUCGUUGUUGAAACCUUCUUAGCAGGUACUGCAGCAAAUGCUGAAAAGACGUACAAGUAAUUGUGUAGGUCAUUUUGAGAUAAGAAUGGAGAGGAAGGUAAUGAUUAACUCCAUAUUCAUUUGAGGUGCACUUAAGGAAAGAUGCUUCCAGCUGGAAUUUGAAUGGACAGAAGAGCAGCAGACUAACCUGAGAGAAAAGGGCAAUGACUUUCCUGAAAUUAAACGGCAGCUUAAUGACACAGACACCAUUGUUUCUUCCUUCAUACAUAUUGACAGCCAGACUGGAAGUAAUCCAAGCAGCUUCAUUUUUGCCUGAAGUAGCAAAA